rnacentral:rRNA from 1 species
UACGGAGGGUGCAAGCGUUAUCCGGAUUCACUGGGUUUAAAGGGUGCGUAGGUGGGUUGGUAAGUCAGUGGUGAAAUCUUCGAGCUUAACUCGGAAACUGCCAUUGAUACUAUUUAUCUUGAAUACUUUGGAGGUAAGCGGAAUAUGUCAUGUAGCGGUGAAAUGCUUAGAUAUGACAUAGAACACCAAUUGCGAAGGCAGCUUACUACACAGUUAUUGACACUGAGGCACGAAAGCGUGGGGAUCAAACAGG